rnacentral:rRNA from 1 species
AUUGAACGCUGGCGGCAUGCCUUACACAUGCAAGUCGAACGGCAGCAUAGGAGCUUGCUCCUGAUGGCGAGUGGCGAACGGGUGAGUAAUAUAUCGGAACGUGCCCUAGAGUGGGGGAUAACUAGUCGAAAGACUAGCUAAUACCGCAUACGAUCUACGGAUGAAAGUGGGGGAUCGCAAGACCUCAUGCUCCUGGAGCGGCCGAUAUCUGAUUAGCUAGUUGGUGGGGUAAAAGCCUACCAAGGCAACGAUCAGUAGCUGGUCUGAGAGGACGACCAGCCACACUGGGACUGAGACACGGCCCAGACUCCUACGGGAGGCAGCAGUGGGGAAUUUCGGACAAUGGGGGCAACCCUGAUCCAGCAAUGCCGCGUGAGUGAAGAAGGCCUUCGGGUUGUAAAGCUCUUUUGUCAGGGAAGAAACGGUAGUAGCUAAUAUCUAUUACUAAUGACGGUACCUGAAGAAUAAGCACCGGCUAACUACGUGCCAGCCGCCGCAGUAAAAC